UGGGGAAUAUUGGACAAUGGGCGCAAGCCUGAUCCAGCCAUGCCGCGUGAGUGAUGAAGGCCCUAGGGUUGUAAAGCUCUUUCACCGGUGAAGAUAAUGACGGUAACCGGAGAAGAAGCCCCGGCUAACUUUGUGCCAGCAGCCGCGGUAAUACGAAGGGGGCUAGCGUUGUUCGGAUUUACUGGGCGUAUAGCGCACGUAGGCGGACUAUUAAGUCAGGGGUGAAAUCCCGGGGCUCAACCCCGGAACUGCCUUUGAUACUGGUAGUAUUGAGUUCUAGAGAGGUGUGUAGAAUUCCGAGUGUAGAGGUGAAAUUCGUAGAUAUUCGGAGGAAAACCAGUGGCGAAGGCGACUCACUGGCUCAAUACUGACGCUGAGGUGCGAAAGCGUGGGGAGCAAACAGG
rnacentral:rRNA from 1 species